CGGAGACGAACGAACAUCUUUCUCUAGCCUAGGGCUCUCUGACUUUCUUGAACUCCAGCAGGGCAAAGGAAAUGCCAGCUUUCUGCAGGCCCUGCAUCAGGGCCUGUCUGUGGCUUCAAAAAAUGCUCCAGUAUGAAAUUGAAGAUUUUUUUCAAGGCAUGCUUGAAAGGAAUGACAAUUUUGAGAACCAGUGGAUUAUUUCAUACUGUCUUCCAAGCUCUAUUUUGUCUCACAUGUACAAGUUGUGGGGCCAAGGAUGG